UACGAAGGGGGCUAGCGUUGUUCGGAAUUACUGGGCGUAAAGCGCGCGCAGGCGGCUAUCCAAGUCAGUGGUGAAAGCCCGGAGCUCAACUCCGGAACUGCCAUUGAAACUGUUUAGCUUGAGGACGAGAGAGGUGAGUGGAAUUCCCAGUGUAGAGGUGAAAUUCGUAGAUAUUGGGAAGAACACCGGUGGCGAAGGCGGCUCACUGGCUCGUAUCUGACGCUCAGGCGCGACAGCGUGGGGGAUCAAACAGG
rnacentral:rRNA from 1 species